rnacentral:lncRNA from 1 species
CCCGGGGAUGCUCCGGGGGCGGGCGGAUCGGCUUCUCGGGCUCCUCCCGCUGCCCCGGCGCCUCGGCCACGUCUGAAAGGGGUUCAUUGUCCCUGUCGGCAGCUCGGAGACGCGGCGGUGGCGGGAGGCGGCGACAAGCUUUUUUC